CACAGCGUUGUAAGUGAGGAUGUGACUGACAGAAGACGUGGACUGCGCGCGUCCAGGAGGUGACCUGCCGAAGGUCAGUCCGAGAGACAACUCGUGGAGGGCAGAGCAAAGACAGCACUGGCGGAGCACGCACUAUGCAAAGAACACCAUAAUCUAAGGAACUAACCUCAUGGACCCCUGUCUGGAAUAAGAUGGAACAUUUGAAAUGUGCAACAGAACAUCAAAGAACCUUGUUGGCCAACCUGCCUGUCAUACAGUGUAUUCUGUGAGAAACAGUGAGAUACUGAAUGGAACAGGAAAGAUGUUGGGUUCCAGAGCCAACAGCCAAGAAAGAAUUCUCAAGACAUCUUUUGCCGUUGCCAGGAAUGGCCAGCAAUCCUUGUACUGACGGAUGAAAGAUUACUCCAGACUUUGCUGUGAAAGAGAG